GUGCGUAGGCGGUUUGGUAAGUCUGAUGUGAAAUCUAUGGGCUCAACUCAUAGUCUGCAUCGGAAACUGCUGUGCUUGAGUGUGGGAGAGGCGCGUGGAAUUGCAGGUGUAGCGGUGAAAUGCGUAGAUAUCUGCAGGAACACCCGUGGCGAAAGCGGCGCGCUGGACCACUACUGACGCUGAGGAACGAAAGCUAGGGGAGCAAACAGGAUUAGAUACCCUGGUAGUCCUAGCCCUAAACGAUCAGGACUUGGGGUGCCGCCCGUUCGGGCGUCGUCCCGGAGCUAACGCGUUAAGUCCUGCACCUGGGGAGUACGGUCGCAAGACUGAAACUCAAAGGAAUUGACGGGGGCCCGCACAAGCGGUGGAACAUGUGGUUCAAUUCGACGCUACGCGAGGAACCUUACCUGGGCUCGAAAUGCUUAUGACCAGCUGUAGAAAUACGGCCUUCCCGCAAGGGACAUGAGUAUAGGCGCUGCAUGGCUGUCGUCAGCUCGUGUCGUGAGGUGUUGGGUUAAGUCCCGCAACGAGCGCAACCCCUAUCUUCAGUU
rnacentral:rRNA from 1 species